AGUGAACGCUGGCGGUAGGCCUAACACAUGCAAGUCGAACGGCAGCACAGUAAGAGCUUGCUCUUACGGGUGGCGAGUGGCGGACGGGUGAGGAAUACAUCGGAAUCUACUUUUUCGUGGGGGAUAACGUAGGGAAACUUACGCUAAUACCGCAUACGACCUACGGGUGAAAGCAGGGGAUCUUCGGACCUUGCGCGAUUGAAUGAGCCGAGGUCGGAUUAGCUAGUUGGCGGGGUAAAGGCCCACCAAGGCGACGAUCCGUAGCUCGACUGAGAGGAUGAACAGCAAAACUGGAACUGAGACACGGUCCAGGAUCCUUCGGGAGGCAGCAAUGGGGAAUAUUGGACGAUGGGCGCAAACCUGAGCCAACCAUACCGCGUCGGUGAAGAAGGCGUUCGGGUUGUAAAUCCCUUUUGUUGGUAAAGAAAAUCAGCCGGUUAAUACCCCGCUGUUCUGACGGUACCCAAAGAAUAAGCACCGGCUAACUACGUG
rnacentral:rRNA from 1 species